GAUUAGGUCUUUUCUCUUCAAACCAUUCGUAAUGGAUAAUCCGUUCCCAGUCCCACCAUACGCACAACAUCGUUUUAAGCGGAUGGAGAUCUUGUUUCACGUGCGGUGUCGCUUGUUUACCGGGGCUAAGCCAUUCCUUACGCUGCUUCAAAUUGGUGUACAGGCACCAUUU